rnacentral:lncRNA from 1 species
CAAUAUUUUGAAACAUGAUACGAAUACAUGACACGAAUGAUUUAUGAUUCAUGAUUAUGAAAUAUAUAUGAUUUAUGCAUGCAUGAUGUGUUUAUAACUUAUUUUAUUGUAUACUAUAUGAAAUAUUUAUUUUUGUAAUAUCUGUUAUUUUCUAAAUAUUAUAUUAUCAUGAAAAAAUAAAACUUAUGCUUGAUCCGGUAAGGAAGCGUCAGUUCUACUAAUUGGGCU